CAUCGAAUACCAGCUUAUCAAGGGUUAAAACCUAUGAUCCACCCAACAACAACAGCAACAAAAACAAAAGAGUAAAGUGAAUCGAAUAUGUUAUUCCAGAGAAGAAUUACAAUGAGCUCCAAAUGAGGCGUCCAAGAACGUCCGUUCAGCAAGCCAAAUAUGCCGCCUGGGUCCAAUCCAUUCAAGCCGUCACAUGAGGCACCACCAUCAUCAUCGACGGAGGAUGGGACGAGAUAGCGUUUAUUCCCCUCUUUCCCUCACCUCAGCCGAACAAUAAAUAAAGUUUAUUCAUUCUUC